rnacentral:rRNA from 1 species
GAUGAACGCUAGCGGCAGGCUUAAUACAUGCAAGUCGAGGGGCAGCAUGACUGUAGCAAUACAGUUGAUGGCGACCGGCAAACGGGUGCGGAACACGUACAGAACCUUCCUUCGAGCGGGGAAUAGCCCAGAGAAAUUUGGAUUAAUACCCCAUAGUACAACGGAGUGGCAUCACUUUGUUGUUAAAGAUUUAUCACUUGAAGAUGGCUGUGCGGCUGAUUAGGUAGUUGGCGGGUAACGGCCCACCAAGCCUGCGAUCAGUAACUGGUGUGAGAGCACGACCAGUCACACGGGCACUGAGACACGGGCCCGACUCCUACGGGAGGCAGCAGUAAGGAAUAUUGGUCAAUGGACGAAAGUCUGAACCAGCCAUGCCGCGUGGAGGAUGAAGGUCCUCUGGAUUGUAAACUUCUUUUAUAUGGGACGAAAAAAGGGUUUUCUAACUCGUCUGACGGUACCAUAUGAAUAAGCACCGGCUAACUCCGUGCCAGCAGCCGCGGUAAU